UCCGAACACUACGGUGCGCCUAACCAUGCAAGUCCAGCGAUGAAGUUGCUUACACAGAGAAAAGCAUAAACAAUUAAAAAAUUAUCCUUUCUUCUGUGUAAGUAAUAGAUUAGCGGCAAACGGGUGCGUAACACGUUGAUACUUCCCCCUAAGUCAGGGAUAGCCUGGAGAAAUCCAGAUUAAUACCGGAUAGUCCCGAAAGGGUAAAGGAGCAAUCCGCUCAGGGAAAGGUCUGCGGCCUAUCAGCUAGUUGGUGGGGUAAUAGCCCACCAAGGCAAUGACGGGUAGCUGGUCUGAGAGGACGACCAGCCACAAUGGGACUGAGACACGGCCCAUACUCCUACGGGAGGCAGCAGUGAGGAAUCUUCCACAAUGGGCGAAAGCCUGAUGGAGCGACACCGCGUGAAGGACGAAGCCUUUGUUGGUGUAAACUUCUUUUCUCUCGGAAGAUAAUGACGGUACGAGAGGAAUAAGGGGCGGCAAACUUCGUGCCAGCAGCCGCGGUAAU
rnacentral:rRNA from 1 species